ACGCUACUGGGCUAUUUGGCUGUGACAUCUGUCAUCUCAUUAAUUGGCCAGGUUCAUUGGGCUGAUCUGGCUGGCUAGGUGGGUGUCCCUUUCCUCCCUGAUACUCUACAUGCUCCUUCCUGAAGCUGCAUACUCAGUCCCACAUAGAGGAGGUAUACGGAGCAGAUGCGCUCCCCUGCUAGAACUUCCAAACAAUCUCUCAGUGUAUUUUCUUAAGGAAGAAACAAACAAAAAACAAGCCAGGUGUGGUGGUACACACUU
rnacentral:snRNA from 1 species